rnacentral:rRNA from 1 species
AUGCCCCUACGGGAGGCAGCAGUGAGGAAUAUUGGUCAAUGGUCGGGAGACUGAACCAGCCACGCCGCGUGAGGGAUGAAGGUACAGAGUAUCGUAAACCUCUUUUGUCAGGGAACAAAGGCGGGGACGUGUCCCCGGAUGAGUGUACCUGAAGAAAAAGCAUCGGCUAACUCCGUGCCAGCAGCCGCGGUAAUACGGAGGAUGCGAGCGUUAUCCGGAUUUAUUGGGUUUAAAGGGUGCGCAGGCGGUCUGGUAAGUCAGCGGUCAAAGCCCGGGGCUCAACACCGGGUCGGCGGUGAAAAUGG